rfam:Triticum urartu cultivar G1812 contig84305, whole genome shotgun sequence.
GCUCAGUUGGUAAAGCACAAGGCUCUUAACCUUGUGGACGUGAGUUCAAGCCCCAU